AGCCUGGGCGGCGUGCUUAACACAUGCAAGUCGAACGAUGAAGCCCAGCUUGCUGGGUGGAUUAGUGGCGAACGGGUGAGUAACACGUGAGCAACCUGCCCCUGACUCUGGGAUAAGCGCUGGAAACGGCGUCUAAUACUGGAUAUGUCCCGUCACCGCAUGGUGUGCGGGUGGAAAGAUUUUUCGGUUGGGGAUGGGCUCGCGGCCUAUCAGCUUGUUGGUGAGGUAAUGGCUCACCAAGGCGUCGACGGGUAGCCGGCCUGAGAGGGUGACCGGCCACACUGGGACUGAGACACGGCCCAGACUCCUACGGGAGGCAGCAGUGGGGAAUAUUGCACAAUGGGCGAAAGCCUGAUGCAGCAACGCCGCGUGAGGGAUGACGGCCUUCGGGUUGUAAACCUCUUUUAGCAGGGAAGAAGCGAAAGUGACGGUACCUGCAGAAAAAGCACCGGCUAACUACGUGCCAGCAGCCGCGGUAAUACGUAGGGUGCAAGCGUUAUCCGGAAUUAUUGGGCGUAAAGAGCUCGUAGGCGGUCUGUCGCGUCUGCUGUGAAAUCCCGAGGCUCAACCUCGGGCUUGCAGUGGGUACGGGCAGACUAGAGUGCGGUAGGGGAGAUUGGAAUUCCUGGUGUAGCGGUGGAAUGCGCAGAUAUCAGGAGGAACACCGAUGGCGAAGGCAGAUCUCUGGGCCGUAACUGACGCUGAGGAGCGAAAGGGUGGGGAGCAAACAGGCUUAGAUACCCUGGUAGUCCACCCCGUAAACGUUGGGAACUAGUUGUGGGGUCCUUUCCACGGAUUUCCGUGACGCAGCUAACGCAUUAAGUUCCCCGCCUGGGGGAGUACGGCCGCAAGGCUAAAACUCAAAGGAAUUGACGGGGACCCGCACAAGCCGGCUGGAGCAUGCGGAUUAAUUCGAUGCAACGCGGAAGAACCUUACAAAGGCUUGACAUACACGAGAAACGGGCCCAAAAUGUGUCAACUCUUUUGGGACACCUCUUGA
rnacentral:rRNA from 1 species